rnacentral:rRNA from 1 species
UGGGGAAUAUUGCACAAUGGGGGGAACCCUGAUGCAGCGACGCCGCGUGGGUGAAGGAGUAUUUCGGUAUGUAAAGCCCUAUCAGCAGGGAAGAACAAUGACGGUACCUGACUAAGAAGCACCGGCUAAAUACGUGCCAGCAGCCGCGGUAAUACGUAUGGUGCAAGCGUUAUCCGGAUUUACUGGGUGUAAAGGGAGCGCAGGCGGCGCGUUAAGCCUGGUGUGAAAGCCCGCGGCCCAACCGCGGGACUGCAUUGGGAACUGGCGCGCUGGAGUGCCGGAGGGGUAGGCGGAAUUCCUAGU